rnacentral:rRNA from 1 species
UACAGAGGGGGCAAGCGUUGUUUGGAAUUACUGGGCGUAAAGGGCGCGUAGGCGGCCUGCUAAGUCGAACGUGAAAUCCCCGGGCUCAACCCGGGAACUGCGUCCGAUACUGGCAGGCUUGAAUCCGGGAGAGGGAUGCGGAAUUCCAGGUGUAGCGGUGAAAUGCGUAGAUAUCUGGAGGAACAUCGGUGGCGAAGGCGGCAUCCUGGACCGGCAUUGACGCUGAGGCGCGAAAGCGUGGGGAGCGAACAGG